rnacentral:tRNA from 1 species
GCCCAGAUGGCGGAAUGGCAGACGCGCUAGCUUCAGGAGCUAGUAUCCUCACGGAUGUGGAGGUUCGAGUCCUCUUCUGGGCACCA